rnacentral:tRNA from 1 species
ACUGCUGUGGUUCAGUGGUACAAUACUUGUCUGCCACACAUGAGACCCAGGUUCAAUUCCCAGGUGUA